ensembl:lncRNA
GAUUUUCAAAUAUUACUUUUAUUUCUGUAGUGCAGCACAUUGCAGAAAAGCAUUAACAAGUGAACAUUCCAGUAUAUCAUACAUAUAAACAAAAAUCACAUUCAUGCUCCAGACUGCAGCAGCCAGUCAUAAAUCAAUCAACAAAUAUGAGUCAAAACUAUUUACUUUGAACAUUUUUCAUAUCUCACAUGUUCCUGUGUGCAAAGUAAAUAUCUUUAGAUUAAAAAAAAAUCUAUGCACGUGUAUGAUCUCCAGACCUGAAAGAACAAAACACAUCAGACUUCUUGUGUUUUCCUUUUAAAAUAGUUUUUUUACUCCAUCGUUUCUUUUCUGCAUCUUUUUAUUGUACUGGCACUUCCUCACUGGUCCCAUUUAGUCCCAUUUAGUGGUUUGUUUACUCUCUGUCGUUUCACCAUCAUCACUGAUGUUACUGCUGUUUGCACCAAAGUUCUGCAUUAUUUAAACAUGAAUGUGGAUAUUUGACCUGGUUUAAUGUGUUCACCCCUCAGUCUGCUGAGAGGAUCACCACUCAUCUCUUUAGUUAGUCUGUUAGUGUAGUGAUUUGUAAUAAAUGCAUUUUUUAAUGUUUGAAGUUACGAACAGCUGCAGUGAGCACUUAGAGCCACUAGAUGUACAGAUGGAUAGAAAAUAGUUUGAAAAGCCUUUACUUUGCUCACACGAGUCACGUUUGACAUCAAAUUGUUACCUAGAAAGAAGAGUUACAUUAACUAGUUACUUACAGGAAAAGGAUGAAAUCAGAAACUGUGUAGUGUUUGUGAUCCUGGCUGUCGACUAUUUCAGACUUCCUCUAAGCUACACUGACAUCACUCCUCCUUUGCUUUGAACUAUUCACAGCUGAACACAGCGUAACUGUAAAACCACAGAGUUGAACUUCCUGUUAGGAUGUUCUGCUCUAAAUGCUCCCUCACUUUUUGUCUCUAUGACAAACUAAAAAUGAUAAAAGGAUCAGCUGACAUGCAUGACGCCAGUUUUUAUGCUAUAGCAUGAAAAUGUUUUAGUUUUAAUUUAGUAUUUUAGUGUCUUCUGCUCCUUACAUAGUGUAGUAAAGUUUCCUUUAUGCAGUGGGUUUGUCUUUAGUGUCUGGUCGUUCUGGCAUUUUAAGCUGGAAAGCUUCACAAAGGUCAGAGGUUACAAAUUCAAUUCUCUGAGUAACACAUCCAUAUCAUAAACUGAUAUAAUGUUCCUAUGAUAAUGAAUAAAUAAUAAAAUAAGCUUAGCUGCUAUUGGGGAACAAACAUGUUCCAAUAUCCCCACUGGGUGGCUUUGGAAAAUGCAGCUUUGCUGCUUUUCAGCUGACGACCUCAUCAAAGGUGAUUCAUACGACACCAAAGUAAAUAAACAAUAAACAGGCUGUUAAGUUACAGAAAGUUCCUGUUUUUUCACCAUCUAGUACAGAAAUUUAUUAGAGAAACUUCAGAGGUGCUGGUAAAGUUGCACUUCUCUUUCUUACACUGAGAUAUGUCAGAUUAAAUGUGAACUUAAACUACUUUACAUCGAGGGGAGUUUAAUGUGGCCCACGAUGUAAAACCAGUUUGACAUCCCUGACCCAGAGUCAUUCACUAAUAUUAAUGAACUGGUAAACAACAUGCUGUCAUUCAAACAGGGUUCAUCUUCACUUUUAAGGUCAGUAUUCACUCAGAUCUGCCAGUGACAGUGAUGGAAGAGCAACACCUCCACCUUUUAAAUACAUUAAAUGGAAAGGAUUUAUAAUACAGUGGGUCGUUCCAUGUCACUGUGAUAGAUCUGGAUAGAUGAUGAACAUUAGAGGUACACAAUAUUUUACCUUCAUACAAUAAAAUAUUUCAGGUGUUAGAGGUCAUUGAGUUACACAUAGAGCAGGUGAAACUUGUCAAUUAUUAUGUCCUAAUAUUUUUUUUCCAGGAUUUUUCUCAAUUAUAGCGAUUCGGGUAAAUGAUGCAUCAUUUGUCUGAACUCUGUAGUGAUGUCAUGUAGUGUGAUCCAGGAUUAAAUUAAACAAUUAGUUUUUAAACCAGUGUUGUUUUGUAAGUUUAGUGUUUUGUUAGUUUACACAUACUAAACCGUAGAGACAUUUGAAACCUGCUGUUCAUGAGGAUGCUAGUUAAAAUCCCGGUUCUGUUGUUUAUGUUUUCUGUAGAUCACAAAACCAACAACAGCAGCAACAAGAAGCACAGCAGGAACACUCAGACCAGCGAUGAGUCCAACAGGUGCAACUGUGAGUUCUGCUGUCUGACCUGCAGGUGAGAAACAGGUGUGAGGUGUCAGCUGUCAGGUAGGUGAUGAGUGAAGAACAGAACAGAAUCCAUUUCCUCUUCAAACUGCUGUCAGACAUUAUCUACUGCACUCUGAUCACAUCACUCAGACCAGCUGCUUUCUACAAAGUCUCAUCAACAACAUCUUUAGAAACAAACAUCAACAACCAGGAAGCAGCUUCACCUCUGAUCACACACACACUCAACUCUACUCACUCACCUGAAACAGUCAGGCUGACAGUGUUGAUGAUCUCCCAUGAAUCUGUCACUCCGUUGAAAAUAUCACAAUUGUAUGAUCCACCAUCAGCAGUCGUCACAUUCUUCAGAAUCAAAGAUACGUCUCCAUCCUUCAUCUGUCUGUCCUGCAGAUCCACCCGGUUCUUAAAAGAUGGAUGCUGCUCUUCUGGAUCCAGCUGCUCAUCCCGGAACAGAAGCACAUAUUCAUCUCCCAGGUCAGCUCUGCUCCACUUCACAGCUCUGAUGGUUUUGUCUGGUGAUACUCGACAUGGUAGAACUACGUCCUGUCCAGACUCAGCUGUGGUAGUGCUCUGGGCUGAAAAAGGAAACAACACAGAGCACAGAGGUUAAAGGUCAAAGUACA